UCGCGGGUAGUUCAAUUGGCAGAACACCGGACUUUGAAUCCGGCCGUUGCAGGUUCGAGUCCUGCCCCGCGAG
rnacentral:tRNA from 1 species